AAGAGCAUAGGUAAUAGACUUAGGAAUGGAGAUAGAAUCAAGGGAAGCAAUAAAAGAAGAAUAUGACAUAGAGAGACGAGAAUAAGAAACAAAAUUAGAAAUAGGAUAGGAAGUACAAUGUCUCUUUGCGUAAAGCAAUAGGAAGAUCUAACUCACAGGAGGGCGUCAUACCUGAAUUUGAAGAUUGAGAGUUAAUUGGUGAAGUGCGUGGCAUAUCAGGAACUUUCUCAACCAUGGAACGACGAGAGUAAACUUGAAGAUGAGGACGAGAUAAUCGAGCUAUGGAAUCUGGUGGACUAGAUGACUCAGGUAAUAAAGGGGAAGGGACUGGUAAAACAGGAGAGGAAAAAGAGGGACACUGGUCUAACUCACAAGGCAUACUUUGUUUGAUAAAAUAUGGAGUGGAUUCAAAGAAAAUAACAUCAGCACAAGUAAAAAAUCAAUUUAAAAUUGGACUGUAACAUCUAUACCCUUUUUGUGCUCGUGCGUAUCCUAAGAAAAUACACUUAAUGGCACGAGAAUCUAAUUUAUCCACCCCGGGAGUAAGCUGAUGAACAAAGCACACACA
rnacentral:lncRNA from 1 species